AGAAUCAACGCUGGCGGCGUGCCUAACACAUGCAAGUCGCACGAGAAAGGGUAGCAAUACCUGAGUACAGUGGCGCACGGGUGAGUAACACGUGAAUAAUCUACCUCCGAGUGGGGAAUAACUGAGAGAAAUCUUAGCUAAUACCGCAUAACACUUACGAGUCAAAGCAGCAAUGCGCUUGGAGAGGAGUUCGCGGCAGAUUAGUUAGUUGGCGGGUAAUGGCCCACCAAGACGAUCGAUCUGUA
rnacentral:rRNA from 1 species